AUUGAACGCUGUCGACAGGCCUAACACAUGCAAGUCGAACGGUAACAGGAAGAAGCUUGCUUCUUUGCUGACGAGUGGCGGACGGGUGAGUAAUGUCUGGGAAACUGCCUGAUGGAGGGGGAUAACUACUGGAAACGGUAGCUAAUACCGCAUAACGUCGCAAGACCAAAGAGGGGGACCUUCGGGCCUCUUGCCAUCGGAUGUGCCCAGAUGGGAUUAGCUAGUAGGUGGGGUAACGGCUCACCUAGGCGACGAUCCCUAGCUGGUCUGAGAGGAUGACCAGCCACACUGGAACUGAGACACGGUCCAGACUCCUACGGGAGGCAGCAGUGGGGAAUAUUGCACAAUGGGCGCAAGCCUGAUGCAGCCAUGCCGCGUGUAUGAAGAAGGCCUUCGGGUUGUAAAGUACUUUCAGCGGGGAGGAAGGGAGUAAAGUUAAUACCUUUACUCAUUGACGUUACCCGCAGAAGAAGCACCGGCUAACUCCGUG
rnacentral:rRNA from 1 species